CAGGCGUCCAUUCUUAUGCGAGGUAACAUAACCCGAUUUGUUAAGGUCCUAUCCUCGAGGUCAGUGCCUAACCCGAACCAAUCGGGUUGCUUUGUAGGGCGGGACUUGCCUAGAAGUUACGUGGGAUCCAUAAUAACGCAUGAAGCUCGGGUUGCAACACACACACACACACACACACACA